GCAUCGGCACCUUUGCCUCCUCCUCUACCGGUCUACCAUCCCCAUCUUCACGCCCAACUCGUUGUGCACCACUUGACCUGUGUCACUCGAUUCAUCUUCUUCUCCUCAACUGCAGGGCUCUGCAGCCCUCUCUCCCCCGCACUACCAUCACCUCCACCUAAUGCACCAGCGCAUGUCGCAUAUAGCACUAGCAGCAGCCGGCAGAAGCAUUGGCUUGGUCACAUUCGCCGGACUUACUCUCCUUCAUCGGCUAUGGGACAUGGGCCGAGCAGAGGUUCCGAUCCAUUGCCGCCCACCAGAUUGUCGAGGAGCUCAAGUGAAUCAGGCUACGUGCACGCCGUUUUCUCUCCUCCAGGCCCUCCUCGCGUAGGCGGCAUCGGAUGCGCAGGACGCAGCCAUCCCUGUCGCGACCCCGAUCUGUACGAGAAUUUCGAGUUCCCGCGGGAAGGAGAAGCUCACCGGGAUAGUGGUCUACCACGAGCGCCGCGUGUUUCUCUGCUGCAAGGGCCUUGACAAGUGCCGAGUCUGGCCGGCUCCUUGCUGCCGCCAUCAAAGCCCCCAAGCCUGUCCUGAAGAAAGCGUGAGCAUCUCUUCUCCUUCUCCCUCUCCCUCAAUUUGCUUUUUGAUUCGCUUGAUUUGGUGUUCUGAUGUGGUAGCUGUAUGCUUCUGCUAUGGUAGUGUUAUUUGGUUAUGUGUCUAGGAUGUUUAAAUUUCACAUGAUUAGGAUAUUAUAUGUUUCAUUACAUCUACAUAUGGAGGAACUGAGCUCUGCAUCGGAGCUUUGCCUUCUGACAGUACGUACGUCAUCUUGCUCUAGCACAUCGGCUUAAUGUACUGAUGCCACCGGUGGCGACCUUGGGUUCUGAUUGAGGCGUCAGCCAAGGACCAGGGAAUGCCAGUUCCUAAGUUUGGUAAAGUAAGUUCUGUUCAAUUUAGUUUUUCAUCAUGCUCGACCUUUUGGGCUGAAGUCGUAGGCAGCAAUACCCAACAAAGAUGGUCGCCUUUUAUACCCCUGAAAUUCGGUAAGUUUUUACAGGUUUCCUGUCGGCUGCUUAUAUUCAGAGCAAGUAACCACACGAUCUUCCAUCGGCAACUGCACACCAUUAUGUUUUAGGACGAUAUUUAAUCUGCUUCUUUCACAUUCAGUAUUCUACAGACAACUACUGGUGCAAUGAGGUUCAACCAUGUUUUUUGCCACCGUAUGUCUUGAUGGUACUGGCAUGGACACUAAAUGUGCAACUCACAUCUAAUAAUUAGUAUUUCAUAGUUCAUAGCGCUGAAUAGAAUAUUGUGGAUAUUACAUCUAUGUAUCUUAUCACUUGCUCUCUUUUUUUGCCAGCCUGUAUCAGACUGGUUAUUGCCAUUUCAAUAUACUUUGCGGCUUAAUUUUUUCAUCAUGCUAUAAGAAGCUUCAGUUGGAUGUUUUUGAGCUAGGAGUUCCAAAUAUUUUUUUUGCAGCUGCUAUGGAAACAAGUCCCCCAUCAGUUGAUCUCAGCUUAGGGUAAAUGAGGUGUCAGAUCCAUAAUGCAAGCUUCAUCAAAGGUCAUCCAAAUUUGGCUAGAGGAACCGCUCAGGAUAUUUUACAAAUUACUAUUGCAGUUCCACUCCGAUUAUGGAGCAUGAGAUGUUAUCUCCAGAGACAGCAAAAAAAGACCUUGUGACAAGAUCACAUAAUAAAUGACACAAUAUUGAGUGUGCAAGGACAAGGGAAGAGUCAAUUUGAUGAGGACAUCAAUACCAUUGUUACACCCACAACCCCUACUACUAUACAUACUGGACCGAUUUCUAGAGCUCGCGCACGCCAAUUAAAUUACCAGGACCUAGCUUGGACAAGGAUGAACAUUGGAUCAAGGACAAGCAUGCAGUUGAUGGCAUGCGCAAGGAAGACAAGAACAGAGUUUCAAGUGAUGAUUUCAGGACUUUAAAGCCAUCAUAAUGAGUGCAUGAAGCCUUGAACGAAAUAUACAAGAUGCCACUUCAUAUUUUUUGUCCAGAGGCUAUUCUAGGUGCUGCGUUAUCUUAUUUUUGGGCCAGACCCAUGUAAUUUCGAAAUACUUCAAUAUAGGCUGUUUUUAGAGUCUGUAUGUGUGGGGAAACAAGAGUUAGGGUUGGUUUCGGACCCCUCCUCCAAGGGCCACGAAAUUCCCUCCUCUUCCUCCAUAUAUACAACCCUUAGGGCAUCGUUUAGACUUUGGGUUUUGUUUAGAUUAAAGUUCUCCAUAGUUGCGCGUACUUCGUUUGUGUUCAACGACCAGACAAAGGCGUCACAGAACCCCACCUUGAUCAAUAAAGCUUUCCUCUUAUAUUCGC
rnacentral:rRNA from 1 species